CGAAGCCUUCUUCCCAGCGAGCACCGACCCAGCAGCGCCGAAGCCUUCUUCCCACUGAGCCACCUAGCAUAGCACCACCCAGCAGUGUUUUCGGCCACCCACAACACAGCACAGCACAGCACCGACUACCAAGCCACCCAACCACCGAUUCAAGUGAGACAUGGAGCCCGAGCCUCUGAGUCAGGAAAAAAUCUGCAUGCACGCUUCCCCUUCCCCUGUAUUGGAAGAUAUCACUGGAUCACAACAUGCACAAAAAUGAUAUCACUGUAUUGUUGCUACGUGCUGUUUACUGAUUUGAAGGUUUUUUUAUGACAGUUCCAUUGAUGGAGUUAUCAAGGAGAGCUUUACGGAAUAGUUUGUCUUGUUUGUUACACUUGUAGCUUUGGUUAUAAUGAACUAGGAAAGAAUAUGCAUGAAUAUGAAUAUCUUAAUAAGAAUGGAAUAGUUUGUCCUGUUUGUUAUAUAACACUUGUAGCUUUGGUUAUGAUGUACUAGGAAAGAAUAUGCAUGAAUAUGAAUAUCUUGAUAAGAAUGGGAUGGAUUGUCAAUUCUUUGAAUCAGUGACUGAUUCCUUAUUUUAAA